CUCACAUUAACAAGCGCCUGCGAGAGAGAGCGAGAUAGGCCAUGGGCUCCAUCGCAAAACAUUUACACUCGCACACACACAACCUUUCAAUGUCAAGGCGACGCACACAAACACUCACAAGCGGCGUUCCAUGGGCUGGUUCAUUGAACUUGAAUAAUGGGCUACCAAAAAUAAAACAGGAAAGUGCAGCCCUGCUCCGCCUUCAAUUGGAGGCCAAUUUGCUACCACUGUGCGAGUGAGAGCAAAUAUGUGGGUCGCGGCAUCUGCUGAGAUUUCACAGCCACAACAAUAAUAAUAAUAAUAACGGCAUGCGGGUGUUGUUUCUGUUCCAUUCAUGCAUGCGCAUCUAUGUGCGUGAUGG